rnacentral:lncRNA from 1 species
CUCGCUCUCUCGCUCCACCCCUCCCCCCCUCCUUUUCUCUCUUCCCCCUCCUCGCCAGGUGAAGUCGGGCUUCUUCCAUGAGAGCGAUGCUAAAGUGGUGGGGAAAUCCAUCCGUGACCGUGUCACGCUCAUCAAGAAGUCCCGUGAGAGACGCCAGCAGCAGCUGCUCCAACAGCAGCAAGGCUUUGAUGAGAGACGGGACUCCACCCGCACCUCCUCCUACACCAACACUUACCCCUCCUGCACCUCCUCCCUGGGGCCUGGGGUGGCUGGGCUGACAGGGCGAGGCGGGGGAGGUGGUGGGCAGGGGGAGGCUGAGGAGAUACCAAAGGCAGAUCAGCAUAUGAGGCAACAGCAGCAGAUCCACAGUGGGAAUCCUCUGAGCCUGCCCACAGGAGGGGAGAGCAUUGUUUCAGCCAGCUGUGAGUCCUAUGCCAAUGGCCAGAGCCAGGCGUACCCUCAGCAACGGGAGUCCUACGUGCUUUCUCAAUCCAACCUCCCUGCUGCUGCUUCGGCAAGUCUAUGGCUACAUAUCAAAUACCACCCUAUUCCCUAUGUACUGCACUAGUUUUGACCAGGGCCAUGUAGUGCACCAUGUAGAGUCUAGGGUGCUAUUUGGAACAUACACAAUGUUAUGGUUGUUCCUGUUUUGGAGAAUCCAGUUUACAAAGAGAUUGAAAUCUUAUUUUCACUCAGCAACCCUGCAAUCACAUUAACUUAUAUUGUCUAUUAUUUAUUUUUAGGCAAUUAUGGCCCACACCAAAAUGUUCCCAAUUAGUCAGAGCAGAGGAGUUCCGAGUGUGCUUAUUGGUCAGAGUAGUGGGAUUGCCGGCAUGUCCAUUGGCCAAAGUGGUGGUGGGGCUCCUGAUGGUCAGGAGACUUACGUUCAGCCUGUUGCCAUGCCAACACAGGUUUCACCAGAUAUACCACAGCAGUAUUCACAGUCAUACCACUCAGAUGGGUCACAGAUUUCACAAAUGGCCCCUUCCCUGUCCUACGCACCCCCAGUCUCCCCCCAAGCCCAGCUCAACAUCCUCCCAGCUCCCAUGUUAGCGGGGGACCCAACAGGACGAGUGGGGGCCAUGGUCCCUCUCCCACAACAGGCCCAGGCCAACGUCACUCCCAAUGUCAUCCAGAUGACACCCCAGCCUUUAACCCAGCAAGCACUGCCUGACAUGAUCCCACAGCAGCAGACCAUUGUUCAACAACAACAACAACAACAGAUACUGAUUGAGCAACAGCAGCAGCAGCAAAUGGAGGCUCAACAAGCCGCCCUGCUUCAGCAUCAUCAACAACAACAUCAACAACAGGCCAGUGUAAUUCCCCAGAACCAGGCGGUACAGCAACAGAUGGAACAACAGCAGCAGCAACAGCAGACUAUAGCAAUCCAACAGCAACAAACUACUGAGCCACAGCAGCAAGUGUAUGUGCAGCAAGCUUUGGUUCAGCAGCAUCAGGCCUUACUACAACAACAACAACAAUCAAUGGAACAACAGCAGCAUCAGGCCUUACUACAACAACAACAAUCAAUGGAACAACAGCAGCAGCAGGCCUUACUACAACAACAACAACAAUCAAUGGAACAACAGCAGCAUCAGGCCUUACAACACCAACACAAUCAUGGAACAACAGCAGCACAGGCAUACAAACACCAACAACAACAAUG